rnacentral:rRNA from 1 species
UACGCAGGCAGCGAGCGUUGUUCGGAGUUACUGGGCGUAAAGGGUGUGUAGGCGGUUGUUUAAGUUUGGUGUGAAAUCUCCCGGCUCAACUGGGAGGGUGCGCCGAAUACUGAAUGACUUCGAGUGCGGGAGAGGAAAGUGGAAUUCCUGGUGUAGCGGUGAAAUGCGUAGAUAUCAGGAGGAACACCGGUGGUGUAGACGGCUUUCUGGACCGUAACUGACGCUGAGACACGAAAGCGUGGGUAGCAAACAGG